rnacentral:rRNA from 1 species
AUUGAACGCUGGCGGCAUGCCUUACACAUGCAAGUCGAACGGCAGCACGGGAGCAAUCCUGGUGGCGAGUGGCGAACGGGUGAGUAAUAUAUCGGAACGUGCCCAGUAGUGGGGGAUAACUGCUCGAAAGAGCAGCUAAUACCGCAUACGACCUGAGGGUGAAAGGGGGGGAUCGCAAGACCUCUCGCUAUUGGAGCGGCCGAUAUCAGAUUAGCUAGUUGGUGGGGUAAAGGCCUACCAAGGCAACGAUCUGUAGUUGGUCUGAGAGGACGACCAGCCACACUGGGACUGAGACACGGCCCAGACUCCUACGGGAGGCAGCAGUGGGGAAUCUUGGACAAUGGGCGCAAGUCUGAUCCAGCAAUGCCGCGUGCAGGAAGAAGGCCUUCGGGUUGUAAACUGCUUUUGUCAGGGAAGAAAUCCUCUAGGUUAAUACCCUUGGGGGGAUGACGGUACCUGAAGAAUAAGCACCGGCUAACUACGUGCCAGCAGCCGCUGUAACAC